GAAAUCUAACGGCUCANCCGUUAAACUGCUUGGGAAACUGAUAAUCUAGAGUAAGGGAGAGGCAGAUGGAAUUCUUGGUGUAGGGGUAAAAUCCGUAGAUAUCAAGAAGAAUACCUAUUGCGAAGGCGAUCUGCUGGAACUUAACUGACGCUAAUGCGUGAAAGCGUGGGGAGCAAACAGGAUUAGAUACCCUGGUAGUCCACGCCCUAAACGAUGUAUACCGGUUGUUGCUGUGCUAGUCACGGCAGUAAUCCACCUAACGGAUUAAGUAUACCGCCUGGGGAGUACGGUCGCAAGAUUAAAACUCAAAGGAAUAGACGGGGACCCGCACAAGCGGUGGAGCAUGUGGUUUAAUUCGAAGAUACGCGAAGAACCUUACCCGGACUUGAUAUCUAACAAAUCAUCCAGAGAUGGAAGAGUGUCUGCUUGCAGAAAUGUUAAGACAGGUGCUGCACGGCUGUCGUCAGCUCGUGUCGUGAGAUGUUGGGUUAAGUCCCGCAACGAGCGCAACCCACGUCAUUAGUUGCUAACGGUUCGGCCGAGCACUCUAAUGAGACUGCCUUCGUAAGGAGGAGGAAGGUGUGGACGACGUCAAGUCAUCAUGGCCCUUAUGUCCGGGGCGACACACGUGCUACAAUGGCAUAUACAAUAAGACGCAAUAUCGCGAGAUGGAGCAAAUCUAAAAAAUAUGUCCCAGUUCGGAUUGGAGUCUGCAACUCGACUCCAUGAAGCCGGAAUCGCUAGUAAUCGUAGAUCAGCCAUGCUACGGUGAAUACGUUCCCGGGUCUUGUACUCACCGCCCGUCACACCAUGGGAGUUGAUNUCACUCGAAG
rnacentral:rRNA from 1 species